AGUUUUACAUAAACUCACCUAAGAUAGAUCACUAACUCUUUGUCCAAUAAUUGGGCAAAGGACAAGAGAAGAGAUACUAAUCUCUUAGGAUAAAUCAUUUAUUGAUGGAAAAAAAUUAUGUACA
rnacentral:sRNA from 1 species